rnacentral:lncRNA from 1 species
AUUUUCAUACAAUUGUAUCUCUCAUGAUAAUUUUGCCUCCUUACCUCAUUGUAGAAGGUGAACCAGCCAACUGCUCGGGUUGUCUCUGGACAGAGAAAACAAGAGGAGCCAACACCUUGGGGGCAAAAAGUUGUGAUGGCCCAGGCUGAUAAACCAACAGCCAAUGAGACCAGCUUCUUGGGAUGUUCAACCAAGAUGACACACAUUGAGGACCAUGAGCCGUUUGAACCAGCACCUGAGGUCACUGCGAGCAGUCAGCAGAGCCCGCCUGAGGACAAUGGCCAGCUUGAAGAUCCUCAUGUAACACUUGGCAAUCAGAAGGUACUUAUUUUUAACAUGUUAUUCCCUGUUCCUUGUGAGUUUUCCUGCCAUUUAUUUGAUCUUGGAAAUUAGUUAAAGUAAUGUUAAUAUCAUGUACAAUUCCAUUUUUCCAUUAUACACAGCCAUGAACUACAGCUGAUUGAUUCCUAGCCUUUUUUAUGAAUUCCUUGUUAAUUUCGAUAUAAACUAUUGGUUACACUCCUUUUUGAUUGAACUACUGUUGUGUUUUUAGGCACCCUGUGAUUUUGCACCUGCCAGAGCUGCUACAUCAAGUCAUGUGACUUAUGACAACCCUGGGUGUCUUCAAGGAUCGUAUGACCAGAGCAGCCACAUAUUCGGGGAAAAUGCAGGUAAGCAGUGUGCUA